GGUGACUCAGUGGUAGAGUGCUUGCCUUGCAUGCAUGAAGCCCUGGGUUCGAUUCCUUAGCACCA
rnacentral:tRNA from 1 species